UACAUUAUCUAACAACUGUGCAACAUAC
rnacentral:sRNA from 1 species